AUGUAAUGCUUGUAGGUAAUGUCUGAUGGUUUAUAAACUGUUACAUAAUAACGGACACUAGUACACUAAACCAGGUAUUUUGCCUGUUUUACCUGUAUAGUCUAACCAAAAUGAUCUGUCAGGAUUUGACCCCCUCCCUACCCAGUUACCAGACAUAUACAGACAAGUCAGCAUCCGUAACUGGGGAGCUUAGGUUUGUUUGUCUUUCUGUUUGCUGGGGUCACUCGCCCUGUGAACAGCCCCGGGUCAUUUUGAGGCAGGGUCUCCUUGUAGUAGUUGGUAACUACCUCACAGAACAACAUACAUGAAGCCCAUCUCAAGCAGUUUGGUUUAAGGGUCUAAACCAAAGACACAACCAUGACAGCACAGACUGCCCCGUUUCUCACCUUCUCGAGAAACACAAACCGACUUGGGAAGGAAGUGUCAAACCAAACUAUACAGGAAUGUUAGGGACUGUUAGUUUCGGUUACCAUGGUAACCAAGUCUCCAUACACAGGUUUUGUGUACUGGCUAGUUAAAAGCUCAUCAGUCCGAAGAUCAGUUAUAUUUAGUGAAUGCUUACCGUUCUGAUUGUGUAAUUGGUAUUCUACCAUAUUGUUUUGUUGUUGUUAUGAAGUGAAGACAAAAGCUGUGAUUUUGUGUUGUUACCUCACACUAUCAGGUUUAGUACAUAACCACUUUGAUUAUAACUAUAGCAAUGUAUGAAUUUUAUUGUUUUUUUAUUUGAUUUUUCUGGUGUACCAAUUUAUGGUAUUAAUGGUAUGUGUGCAUUAACUAUAAAAAUGUAAUGUGGCGUUUUUAAAUACCAGGGUAAAUUUAGGAUCAGUCCAAAAAUUUCCAGAAAUUUUGUAUAUAAAGGGGAACAAUAAGGGGAGACAAUUACAUCAGUAAGAAAUCCUUUCCAGGGGAGAUAAUUACAUCAGUAAAAAUUCCUUUCCAGGGGAGAUAAUUACAUCAGUAAAAAUUCCUUUCCAUGGGAGACAAUCAAAUUUGUAAGAAUUCCUUUCCAUGGGAGACAAUCAAAUUUGUAAGAAUUCCUUUCCAUGGGAGACAAUCAUAUCGGUAAGAAUUCCUUUUCAGGGGAAUUAAUUAUAAAAGUAAUAUUCUUCCUGGGAAGAAGUUAAAAAUCAUUCCUAAUGCACAGGUGUCUGCUUCUGGUUAGUAUUGAUAGAAAAAUAUAUUAGGCCCUAACCCUACUAUAUCAACAAGGUGUAACACUCGAAGAUCUACGAUGCAUCGACUGUGGAACGGAAGUAGACCUGAUUGGUCGACAGCUCUAUAAACAAUACUAACUAUAAUUGUCGACCAAUCAUAUCUACUUUCAUUCCACAGUCGAUGUAUCCUAGAUCUUUCAAGUGUUACACCUUGUUGAUUUAGUAUGAGUAGGGGCUAAUAUUUGUAUUCUAUUAAUACUAUGCCUGUGCCUAAUGGUACAAUUAGUGUAUGAUGGUAGAAAAUUGAGUACAGGUCAUUGCACAAAGUAGUUUUAUUGCAUGUGAAAACAAAAUACUCAUUGCAUGCAUUGUUUGCAUUUAUUUAAUUGUUUUGCUAUAUAUCAUGUUUAUUAUUUUUUAAAUAAGUUUAAAUUGUAUAAUAAAAAUGCUUAACCCUUGUUUAUAGUAUUUGUAUGACAACCUAUGAUUCAUGUAGCACAAUGAAUGAGAUGGAUUGACAUUUUAAUAGUUUGUAAUUAGAUUGUGUUGCACACAUUCCCUUAUCUAGGGCUACAAUAUACAUCCAACCAUAAUCCCUGUUUCCUCGGACUCUCUACUGCUAUUGAUGGAAAACUGGAAAAACUUGGCAAUGAGGAGAGCUAGUCCAUCAACUGCAGCAGAGGCUGAAAGUAAAUUGUGUUUAGGUAGGAUGUUUCCGACUUGUCUCAGCAGAGUAUGAAUCAUAGCUCUACGCAUAUCAAUGUACAGUGUGACCCUAAAAUGUUUGACUCAAAUUGUUUUUUUUCUUUCUGUCAGUUCAUCUUUUAUUUAAAAUGUUAAUACACUGAUAAUUAUAAUAUUAGAUGAUACAUUUAAUCACAAACACUGGAUGAAGGUUGCACACUUUAAAUAAAGUGGAUUCUCUCUAAACCUGGCACAGGCCUUGGGGACUAAACAAUUUGGUCAGGUUAGGAGAAGUCCAGAAAAAUCAAGAGCUGGAUUUUUUAUAAGUGAAGAAUAAUUUUAUCUGGACUUACUUAUUAGGUCAGAAUGGAGUUGAUUCUGAAGUAGAGAAAUGUCAAUUUAGAGAGAUUUCACUGUACUAUGUAAUUAUGUGAUUGAUCAUAAUAUACACUGUAUCUGCAAUAAGUUAAAUUAUUUCCAAAAAAAACCCAAUAUACUGUUGUUAUAAUUUAAUCUAUAAUUAAAUAUCCAGUUUGUAUGUGUUUUAUAGGUAUGUAAAUGGGAAAUGUGAUGUUUUCUAAAACCAAUAAAAAUUAUUCUUUAAUAUUUAUAAAAAAGUUGCACUUAAAUAAUUUUUUUGAUUUUGGGACAUUGUGUACAACCACCUUCUUGAAUUUUUCCUUUGAGCUGAUUGCACAUGUUCAAAUCCAAAGCCUAAGAAAACAUUACAUUAUUUUACAUCUCUAGACUUUUUGACUUAUUAGAAUUUCAUUAGUAUUUCAAAAUUAUAUGAAAACAAGUUUUAAUAUCAAAAUUUAGAAUCUAAAAGCAGCCUUGUCUGAAGGCAAUCAUAAGUGAAAAUUAAGAUGAGCAAGUUAGGUCCAUUUGACCUCUUGUUUCACAGUGGAACAUUUGUCAUUCUACAAUUAAUUUUGUUCUUGCCAUAUUUUUCAGUGCAAAUUGGUGCACACAAUAAUGUAUUAAAUUUUAACUUGUUAAGUUUUAUGUUUGGUGAUUGUGAAAUUUAAAUGUACAUUAUACAGCUGUAUGACUUCUACUGUACACAUUUCAUAAUUUUAAGUUGUUCUGACAAUUUCAGAAUUUCCUUCAUCAAGGUAUAUAACAACUAUCAUGAUUUUUCUUAGAAAAUGCCUGAAAUAGGUAACACAUGCAUUUUGAAAAUGCAGUUAUGUAUGGUAUCCAAAUUAAAUGUCAAAGUUGAGAAAUCCUGAAAUGGUUUAGAAACCCAUGCAUCCUCCCUCCCCCAUAUUAGAAUAUGGAUCAGUCACUGGUAUAAAUAUUAUAUGGAAUGGUACUGUUCACUACCUAGUGAAGGGGAGGCAAGGACUGGAUAUCAUUAACUGUCUAUUAUCUCCAUAGUUAUAUAGUAUUUUUUGAAAAUAAAUGUUGUUAUAUUUGUUAAAACGCUUGUAUUUGUUGCUCAAAUUAAUAUAAUAUUGAUAUUA